CGGGACGGGUGGAGUAACGACGUGGAGGAACCUAGCCGUAUACUGGGGGAGUAACAACUUAGAAAUAAGGUGCUAAUACCGCAUAAGCGCACAGCUUCGCAUGAAGCAGUGUGAAAAACUCCGGUGGUAUACGAUGGAUCCGCGUCUGAUUAGCUGGUUGGCGGGGUAAAGGCCCACCAAGGCGACGAUCAGUAGCCGGCCUGAGAGGGUGAACGGCCACAUUGGGACUGAGGCACGGCCCAAACUCCUACGGAAGGCAGCAG
rnacentral:rRNA from 1 species